GUGUCAGCCGCCGCGGUAAUACAGAGGGUGCAAGCGUUAAUCGGAUUUACUGGGCGUAAAGCGCGCGUAGGCGGCCAAUAAAGUCAAAUGUGAAAUCCCCGAGCUUAACUUGGGAAUUGCAUUCGAUACUGGUUGGCUAGAGUCCGGGGGAGGAUGGUAGAAUUCCGGGUGUAGCGGUGUAAUGCGUAGAGAUCUGGAAGAAUACCGAUGGCGAAGGCAGCCAUCUGGCCUAACACUGACGCUGAGGUGCGAAAGCAUGGGGAGCAAACAGGAUUAGAUAC
rnacentral:rRNA from 1 species